rnacentral:rRNA from 1 species
CCUACGGGUGGCAGCAGUGGGGAAUAUUGGGCAAUGGGCGCAAGCCUGACCCAGCAACGCCGCGUGAAGGAAGAAGGCUUUCGGGUUGUAAACUUCUUUUCUGGGGGACGAACAAAUGACGGUACCCCAGGAAUAAGCCACGGCUAACUACGUGCCAGCAGCCGCGGUAAUACGUAGGUGGCAAGCGUUAUCCGGAUUUAUUGGGUGUAACGGGCGUGUAGGCGGGAAUGCAAGUCAGAUGUGAAAACUAUGGGCUCAACCCAUAGCCUGCAUUUGAAACUGUAUUUCUUGAGUGCUGGCGAGGCAAUCGGAAUUCGGUGUGUAGCGGUGAAAUGCGUAGAUAUACGGAGGAACACCAGUGGCGAAGGCGGAUUGCGGGACAGUAACUGACGCUGAGGCUCGAAAGCGUGGGGAGCAAACAGGAUUAGAUACCCCUGUAGUC